AGCAGCCGCGGUAAUUCCAGCUCCAAUAGCGUAUAUUAAAGUUGUUGCAGUUAAAAAGCUCGUAGUUGAAUUUCGGGAUCAAUGGGUUGGUCAUGCCCUCGGUAUGUACUGAUUUCAUUGGUUCUCACCUUCUAAGGAACCAUGAUGUCAUUCGUUUGAUGUUGUGGGGAAUUAGGACUGUUACCUUGAAAAAUUAGAGUGUUUAAAGCAGGCUAACGCUUGAAUACAUUAGCAUGGAAUAAUGAAAUAGGACAUCCGAUUCUAUUUUGUUGGUUUCUAGGAUCGAUGUAAUGAUUAAUAGGGAUAGUUGGGGCAUUAGUAUUCAAUUGUCAGAGGUGAAAUUCUUGGAUUUAUUGAAGACUAACUACUGCGAAAGCAUUUGCCAAGGAUGUUUUCAUUAAUCAAGAACGAAAGUUAGGGGAUCGAAGACGAUCAGAUACCGUCGUAGUC
rnacentral:rRNA from 1 species